rnacentral:rRNA from 1 species
AGAGUUUGAUCCUGGCUCAGGACGAACGCUGGCGGCGUGCUUAACACAUGCAAGUCGAACGGUUCAACACUUGACACUCAAUGCUCUCAAAGCCAGAAUUGAUCAAAACAGCGCCAGAGAGAUGCGAACCCAGAGAGCAUCGCGCAAUCAAAAAAGAGCAACAACAAAGAGAAGAGAACAUUGAGAGUUGAGUGUUGAAUAGUGGCGGACGGGUGAGUAACGCGUGGGCAACCUACCCAUAAGAGGGGGAUAACAGUUGGAAACGACUGCUAAUACCGCAUAAACUAUAGAGUUCGGAUGGACUCAAUAGAAAAGAUGGCCACUUGACAAUGCUAUCGCUUAUGGAAGGGCCCGCGUCUGAUUAGCUAGUUGGUGGGGUAAAGGCCUACCAAGGCGACGAUCAGUAGCCGGCCUGAGAGGGUGGACGGCCACACUGGGACUGAGACACGGCCCAGACUCCUACGGGAGGCAGCAGUGGGGAAUAUUGCGCAAUGGGGGAAACCCUGACGCAGCGACGCCGCGUGAGCGAAGAAGGCCUUCGGGUUGUAAAGCUCUGUUGUAAGGGACGAACGUUCAUGGUAGUAACUGACUAUGAAAUGACGGUACCUUAAGAGGAAGCCCCGGCUAACUACGUGCCAGCAGCCGCGGUAAGACGUAGGGGGCGAGCGUUGUCCGGAAUUACUGGGCGUAAAGAGCACGUAGGCGGGUAAAUAAGUCAGAUGUGAAAGACCGGGGCCCAACCUCGGGGUUGCAUCUGAAACUGGAUAUCUUGAGGGCAGGAGAGGACAGUGGAAUUCCUGGUGUAGCGGUGAAAUGCGUAGAAAUCAGGAGGAAUACCAGUGGCGAAGGCGGCUUCCUGGACUGACCCUGACGCUGAGGUGCGAAAGCGUGGGUAGCAAACAGGAUUAGAUACCCUGGUAGUCCACGCUGUAAACG